CCGCGAGUAGCUCAGUUGGUAGAGCUGGCGACUUAUACUCGCCCUGUCGGGGGUUCGAGUCCCUCCUCGCGGAC
rnacentral:tRNA from 1 species